rnacentral:rRNA from 1 species
AGCGAACGCUGGCGGCAGGCCUAACACAUGCAAGUCGAACGAACCUUUCGGGGUUAGUGGCGGACGGGUGAGUAACACGUGGGAACGUGCCUUUAGGUUCGGAAUAACUCAGGGAAACUUGUGCUAAUACCGAAUGUGCCCUUCGGGGGAAAGAUUUAUCGCCUUUAGAGCGGCCCGCGUCUGAUUAGCUAGUUGGUUGAGGUAAUGGCUCACCAAGGCGACGAUCAGUAGCUGGUCUGAGAGGAUGAUCAGCCACAUUGGGACUGAGACACGGCCCAAACUCCUACGGGAGGCAGCAGUGGGGAAUCUUGCGCAAUUGGCGAAAGCCUGACGCAGCCAUGCCGCGUGAAUGAUGAAGGUCUUAGGAUUGUAAAAUUCUUUCACCGGGGACGAUAAUGACGGUACCCGGAGAAGAAGCCCCGGCUAACUUCGUG